AUUGAACGCUGGCGGCAGGCCUAACACAUGCAAGUCGAAUGGUAACAGGAAACAGCUUGCUGUUUCGCUGACGAGUGGCGGACGGGUGAGUAAUGUCUGGGAAACUGCCUGAUGGAGGGGGAUAACUACUGGAAACGGUAGCUAAUACCGCAUAACGUCGCAAGACCAAAGAGGGGGACCUUCGGGCCUCUUGCCAUCAGAUGUGCCCAGAUGGGAUUAGCUAGUAGGUGGGGUAACGGCUCACCUAGGCGACGAUCCCUAGCUGGUCUGAGAGGAUGACCAGCCACACUGGAACUGAGACACGGUCCAGACUCCUACGGGAGGCAGCAGUGGGGAAUAUUGCACAAUGGGCGCAAGCCUGAUGCAGCCAUGCCGCGUGUAUGAAGAAGGCCUUCGGGUUGAAAAGUACUUUCAGCGGGGAGGAAGGGAGUAAAGUUAAUACCUUUGCUCAUUGACGUUACCCGCAGAAGAAGCACCGGCUAACUCCGUG
rnacentral:rRNA from 1 species